UCUGUUGGUUGGUUGGAAAAGGUUUCUAGUUUAAAAUUCAAAUUGCGCAUGUUUGCGUUCUGGCUCGGGCGUAUUCAAAUCGGAGAUCGGUUCGGUAUGCAAAAUAGCUCGCCGGGAAUUGGAUACGUUUGUUCAGUCGUAUGUUCAGCAGCGAAGGAAUAACACUCAAAAGGAUACGCGGUCGUUCUUGGAUUAUAAUUGAUUGGCGAAUGAAAAGGUGGCAGAAACAGAAGACAAACUUUCUACAUCGCACAAUUUGACCAACCUUGCUCGCAUUGUAGCUGCGUUUGACUUUUAUUUUUAGCCCAAUCUGGACUGGAUCCAAUCCAAGCAACAAUCCUGUACCUGCCGACGACAAUCACGAAUUGGACAGUAAUCAAGAUCUGGAUAAGAGGGCAUGGGAAAUUGCCAAAAUAUGUCAUGUGGCUGAUACAAGGUCACUAACCAUCGUACAGAGGAUGUUUGAUGCAAAAAACUGAGGAAACCGGUAAUAGGUAGCCAACGAACUUACUUGCAGCACAGAAACGCCACAGCAGCGCCACAAUAUUUUCGGUGAAAAUUUGUGUGGGCUAUCGACGUCGCUCAUUUGCUUUUUUUAACAUGUUAUUAAAUGUUUAAUUGUUAUUAUCUGGAGCCAGACCAGUGGUGGUCGGUGCCGAUGCCAAAGAAGCGUCACGUUACGGUUGAAAGCUUUAAUGGCUAAUGGUCAGCUAAUGAAGAUGCCUUCGGAUGGACUUGGGUGAAUUGUACCUACCGGAACCCUUCCCUCCGUGUAUAUGUAUGUGGAUCAUUACACGUUUGCGAUGGCGCUGAAUGAUGCUCCCGUGGGCUUAAGUGAUUUCGGAAACGUUCCGGAUGCAUUACGAUAGAUCGAGUUAAAACUACAAUCAACAGUAGAGUAAAUAUUCUACUGAAAAAAAAGUGUCGCAUCAGUUAACGAAAGAAAUCCCUAAAACGCGGUUAUCUAUAAUCUCUUCACUCAUUCAAAUCUAAUUUAUAGCCCAGUUCCGUAAAUUUAACAAUAUUAGUUGAAUUUUAAAGGUGAGCAGAAAUUUAUCAUCCCGGCUCAAAGCCCCGUCAGAAAGAAGGAGAAAAGCUGUUAAUUAGAGUUGUUAAAAGAGUUGAUCUUUCCCCUUAUCCCCGUAUGCGAGUUUCUUUAAACGGAAGAAAAUUUUAAUUGAGUAUAUUUUUUUUACAAUACAAGAAUGCCCAUUACAUACAUAUUAAACCCAUUAAGAAGAAAUGGGAAAGACACACUAAACAGCUUGUUUUCGUUUGUUUCAUAAUUUAUCAUUGCCUACUGCGCGGUU